rnacentral:rRNA from 1 species
CGGGGGGAGCAAGCGUUGUUCGGAUUUACUGGGCGUAAAGGGCGCGUAGGCGGCGCAACAAGUCACUUGUGAAAUCUCCGGGCUUAACUCGGAGCGGCCAAGUGAUACUGUCGUGCUAGAGUGCGGAAGGGGCAACUGGAAUUCUCGGUGUAGCGGUGAAAUGCGUAGAUAUCGAGGGGAACACCUGCGGCGAAGGCGGGUUGCUGGGCCGACACUGACGCUGAGGCGCGAAAGCCAGGGGAGCGAACGGGAUUAGAUACCCCGGUAGUCCUGGCCUUAAACGAUGGAUGCUUGGUGUCCGGGGUUACAUAGUCCCCGGGUGCCGUCGCUAACGCCUUAAGCAUCCCGCCUGGGGAGUACGCACGCAAGUGUG